AGAGUUUGAUCAUGGCUCAGAACGUACGCUGGCGGCACGCCUAACACAUGCAAGUCGAACGAAGUAGCAAUACUUAGUGGCAGACGGGUGAGUAACAUGUGGGUAUCUACCCUUUGGCCUGGAAUAACACGAGGAAACUUGUGCUAAUACCGGAUAAGUCUUUACGGAGAAAGCUUUAUGCACCAUUGGAUGAGCCUGCACUUGAUUAGUUUGUUGGUAGGGUAAUGGCCUACCAAGACUAUGAUCAAUAGCUGAUUUGAGAGGAUGAUCAGCCACAUUGGGACUGAGACACGGCCCAAACUCCUACGGGAGGCAGCAGUGGGGAAUCUUGCACAAUGGAGGAAACUCUGAUGCAGCGAUGCCGCGUGAGUGAAGAAGGCCCUUGGGUUGUAAAGCUCUUUCGUCGGGGAAGAAAAUGACUGUACCCGAAUAAGAAGGUCCGGCUAACUUCGUGCCAGCAGCCGCGGUAAUACGAAGGGACCUAGCGUAGUUCGGAAUUACUGGGCUUAAAGAGUUCGUAUGUGGUUGAAAAAGUUGGUGGUGAAAUCCCAGAGCUUAACUCUGGAACUGCCAUCAAAACUUUUCAGCUAGAGUAUGAUAGAGGAAAGCAGAAUUUCUAGUGUAGAGGUGAAAUUCGUAGAUAUUAGAAAGAAUACCAUUGCGACGCAGCAGGCAGCUUUCUGGAUCAUUACUGACACUGAGGAACGAAAGCAUGGGUAGCGAAGAGGAUUAGAUACCCUCGUAGUCCAUGCCGUAAACGAUGUGUGUUAGACGUUGGAAAUUUAUUUUCAGUGUCGCAGCGAAAGCGAUAAACACACCGCCUGGGGAGUACGACCGCAAGGUUAAAACUCAAAUGAAUUGACGGGGACCCGCACAAGUAGUGGAGCAUGUGGUUUAAUUCGAAGAUACGCGCAGAACCUUACCAACACUUGACAUGUUCGUCGCGACUCUAAGAGAUUAGAGUUUUCGGUUCGGCCGGACGAAACACAGGUGCUGCAUGGCUGUCGUCAGCUCGUGUCGUGAGAUGUUGGGU
rnacentral:rRNA from 1 species